rnacentral:tRNA from 1 species
GUCUCAAUGGCUGAGUGGUCGAAGGCAACGGUCUGCAAAACCGUAUUCAUCACAGGUUCGAAUCCUGUUUGGGACU